UUACCUUGGCUGCCCGCGUGGCAGUUUUACAGAUAUUAAAUACCGACCCGGGGGUGAGCGGGGCUCCUCGCUACGUGCGCUCGCCGGGGGCCGGCCGGGCAUCCCAACCCGGACGCCCACGCCACGGGAUCCUUAUGCUGGGCUAAAAAAGCCAUCUUGCACUUUGCAAGGCUCUGCUGACUGCUGCCUAAAAUGACACACGGGGCUCCUCCUGCCCUUUCCCCCACCUCGUCCCACCUACCGAAAGGGCGAAGGAAAGGCGUGAGCAGGGAGCCCUCUUCUGAGGAAGGAGCCUCAGCCUGCAGCUUCCCAACCACUGACCACCUGCGGUGUGCCCUGGGGACCAGCCUGGAUGCUCCUCCUCGUGGUCAGUGUCCAGGGUGAGUGUGUCAGGCAUCCAGAGCCUGCAGUGGACCGGGGACCCUCUUCUCCUGGGGAAGCAGAGGGUCCGGAUGGCAAAGGACAACGUGGAGGGCCUCUCAGUGUUUGAUGACUAAACAUCAGAGUCGAGUUUCAGAGCCGUCACUCUGCAGGACUUCCGUGCAGGAGAGGCUAGAUACUUUCUAAGGACUUUAUAAAAAUUCACUCCCUUAAUCUUCACGGAAAUCCUGUGAGGGGCCAAGGAAGACUGGAAGGCCAUGUCAGGAACCAGCCUCUUGUGACUGACACCUCCUGGCCUUGCCUUGUGCCACAGUAGGUGCCAUGGGGUUGGACUUCAGACCCCCUGCUCCUGGUCCCUUCUCUCCAGCGGUGCGGGGAAGAACUGCUCCAUCUGCAGCACAGGGCAGUGAGGCAGACUUCCUGGAGAGGCAACCUGAAUUUGAAGGACUAAUAGAUAAUGUAUAUUGAGUAAGUGUACAUGCAUACUUACUAUAUUCUGUGCUUGGACUACCACUAUGAACAAGAUGGACGAAGCUGCAUACCGCAUGGAGGCUGAAUUUUGAUCAAGGAGACAGAUAAUGUUGUGUAAGCAACAGUAACAAGAAAGGAAUUCAAGCUGUGCUGUGUGUCUUUGGAAAAGCCACUUGGCCUCCCUGGAUGUGAGUGAGUGGCUAUCUUUGGGAUGUUCCAGAACAGCUUCUCUCCUACAGUGCUACUCUGAGAGAAUGUCCACACACUGAAGACAUAUUGCCAACUGGAAAGCCCUGUGUUCGUAGGCAUUACCUUGGUGUGUGAACAAGUGUGCUUGCCAGCACCUGUUUCGCUUGGCUCAUGAACACAGCACCUGUGGGACUCUGCAACUGGUCCCAAAUUCCUACCCAUCCGCAGCUCCUCCUACCAGCAGUGGAGGGAGCGAGCCAUAUGGCUCUGAUAUCCUGACUGGGUUUUGUUUUGCCUUGAGACAAUACAUUCUGCAAGUUUCUCUCCUUGGAACUUUCUUUUCAUUCUUCUUGCUAGAAUAAACUUCAUUUUAAGGAGGGCAGAGGGGGAAGAGCUGAACGCCAGAAAUGUCCAAAGCCUGGGGUUAGGGCUGGCUUGAGUGGGCAGAGAUGGGACUGGCCCAGUGGUGGGGAGGAAGCCCUGGGAGGAGGCUGAUAAGCAUGCCUCUGUCAGCAACAUGUCAGCUCCCGGGCCUUGCCUUCCUUGCUCUGACCAGGUAAAACCACUCUGUGGCACUCAUGGGGCUCCAUUUGGUGCCCAGCAUUGGUCUCCCAGAGGCCCUCGGCACAUUGCACCCAUGCCAGUCCACUCCUGCCAAUGCUGCUAGGCUCAGAUCAGCGCACUCAACCAUACACCUGUCUGCCAACCUAGCUAGCUCCACCCAGGCUGACCCGGGCCGACCUCAUCCCUCCUGGCCCAUCCAAUCCAUCCCACCUAGCUUAUGGGGGCAGAUGCUUAGACUGGAUCCUUUGGCCUCUCUGCCUCCCUCCUUCUAGAGUGCUUUUGUGUCCCAUUGAGGCUGAAAGGCUGAAACUGUACUUCCUAGACUGCCCUAAAGUUAGAGCUAUGGAUGUGAUGUGGGUUUCAUCAAAUGCCAUCUAUUUAUGCAAGGCUGGAAUUCAGAAGUGAAUCAAGUGGGCAGAUAGGCAGAGAAAGCGUAAUAUGUUCCAACAAUAUUUGUAGAAAUGAACAUAGCUAACCGAGAAAAGUGGGGUGCGCCUCUGUCCCCACCACCCAACUACAGCAGCUGGGCAUAGUUCCCCUAUUUUAGGUUAUCUGUCCAAAGCUGCAGCUUUGUUUUCUGGAGACGAAGCCUGUCAAUGCCUUCAUGCUGAGGUGUGCAUUCAGCUGGUGUGGACAUGCCAAUGAGUGCGAUUCUGGAGCCAGAAGCUGGGCUGGCGGCUUCCUGAUUUGGCAGAUGGCUUUCCGAUGGUUGCAAAAGGAGCAGCUGCCUUGGUGGUCCAGUUCUGCAGCCCAGCUUUGGGACUUGGUCCCAAAGAUGCAGCCUACAAUCUGUUUCUUCAGCUUUCCAAAUAUUUCUGUAAGCCACUCAAUACCAUGAAUACAUUUAUUUCUGCUGCAUAAACUAUCCAGAGUGAAUUUUGUCUCUGCAGUGGAAAGCUAGAGAAUUCCCAGCUCAUGCUGUCUUCCACUCAGUCUAACCCUGCCCCAAACCAGUCCAGUCCCAAAUCAUCCAAUUCAUCCAGGCAUGUUCAACAAGCCCUAUCCAAAUCAGUGUAGCUCUGCCCAACCCAGGGCAACUCGUCUACUCCAGAUAAUAUCUGUCCACAUUGACCCAUGUAAAUAAAUACUUAACCUAUGCCAAAUCAGCCCAUACUAACUCCCUUAAUCUAAACAAGGCAUUUUAUUCCUAAGUCAGUCUUAAUAAUCCCACUUCUUGUUGCUGGACCCAAUACUGGACACUCGUAAUUUAAAGAAGGAGAGAUUUAAUUUGGCUGACAAUUUCAGGGGAUUCAUAGGCGAUUGAUACAGAACAUCAUGGCAGAGGUGGGUGGUGGAGCAAAGAAGGAUGCUUAGUUUUUGAUGGCUGGGAAGCAGAGCAAGGGAACAGCGCCAGAGAGGAAGGGAGUAGGGGCCACAUGUAGUACCCAAAGUCAUGCCUCCAUGAUCCACCAGACACAAGAAAUGAGCUUUACUAAUCCAGUAGGCAUUUCUUGAGUCAAUCAAGCUGGCACAACUAAGGCUAACCUUCAGUCACCCAACUCUGCCAACUCAAUCCUAAUGCCCACCUACCUAAUGAACCUCAAUGGUUCUAUGGCAACUGAGCAACAUGGCCCAUUUAAUUUCACCCAUUUUUUACUGAACAUCUUUUGACAGCCACUGAGAGGGAACAAAGAGCACUUGAACUUCUCUCCAGAUGUAAGGCUGAAUUCUUAGAAGUAUAUUUUUCUUUUCUGUCUUCUUUCCCAUUUCUCUCUCUACCAUAGAUCCUGCCUUUAUCUGUGUCCGUUACUUUUGACUACUCAGUGUUCCCAUGGUGCUUUCUGAGUUUUUCUAACCCUUAGUGACAAGGCCUACUCCAUCCCAGUCCUACUCCUGGUGAACACCCAGAACUGCUGCUGCUAAUAUCUAUCUAACCACUACAGCACACAGGAUUCCCAAAAUGGGCCAGCAAAGAUCUUCCCUGAUCUCUGGAAACUGUGAAUAACACCAGGACAUCACUCCUGUGAUUAUGUUCUAUGGUAUACUUGACCUUAAGACCAGGAUAUUAAUCUGGAUUAUCUGGGCGGUCCCAACAGAAUCACACAAGUUUUUAAAGCAGCAAGCUUUCUCCAGCCACCAGUGGUGGAGGAAGCCACGGACAUACAGAAGAAGGAGAGCUUAGAAAUAUUUGAAGUAUGAGAAGGACUUGCUGGCUUUUAAAAAACCAAAGUGAUCAUGUGACCAGGACAGUGUGCAGCUUCAAUGAACUGACAGUCAGUGAGUGUCAGGGGCCUCAUUCUACCAUGGCAAAGUGUUGUAAACUUCAGGGUGAUCAGAAAUGCAUUCUUCCCGGAGCCGCCCCAUAAGACACCAGCCAGCUGACCCCUUGAUUUUGGCCUAAGACCCUGGCCAGAAGACACAGCCUACCUAAAUUUUGGGACUGCAGAACUAUGAGAUAAUGAAUGAAUGUUGUUAUAAGCUGCUAAAUUCAUGGUAAUUUGUUACAUCGUGAUAGAAAGUUUAAAUGUCCAGUCUGUGUCUACUCUUGGAAUUAUCUUGAUGUGUUUCCCAGUCAACCUGAAAGAUUAGUUAGUGUAGGAUUGCUAGAAGAGAGUACUGGGCAUGAGUACAACUGUCACCUGCUAGCUCCGUGACUUCAGUUAAAUUAUAUGGUCUUUCUAAGCAGAGCUUUAUUCCUCGGUAUAAUAUGAAGAUAACAGUUGUCCUGGGCUGUUUGCUUACAAGGUUAAAUAUAACACUUUACAUACGUGACACAUAGUAUAAACUUAAAUAUUUUAUUUUAUUUAUUUGGGAAAGCAGUUAGCCAAGUAACCAAGGAUACUGCUUAAAGAUAUUAGAAUAAGCUAUUUUUCAUUACCGUCAUUGACAGCCGGACUAUUUUAAAAAUUGAUGUAUGUUUUAAAAGGCACAUAGCAGUUGUAUGUGUCUGUGGGGCACAGUGUGGCACUUUGAUACAUAAAAGCAUCGUGUAAUGAUCAGAUCAGGGUAACUGGCAUAUCUGUCCUGACGCAGUAUUCCCUUCUUUGUGCUGGGAACAUUCAAAAUCCUCUCUAUGAGCUAUUUUGAAAUAUUUAAUCAGUGGUUGUCAACAAUAGUUAUCCUUCUGUGCAGGAGCAUUGGGAGCCAUUUCUCCCAUUCCACUGGCCCCUGUAACUAUGUCUUCUCUCUACCGCAUCCUGCAUACCCUUCCCAGACUCUGAAGUCGUGAGUCUAAUCUAACAACAGUACAACAAUUUUAGUAGCACAUUACUGACUUAACACAGAAGAAGAGCUGGGACAGUGUGGUGCUCUGCAGAUCCCCAUCCCAUCCCCUACCCAGGAGAUCACUAAUAAAUGACUAACCUGCCUGGGCUGGGUCAAAGUCUUGGAUUUCCUAGGAGGAAACACCAAGAAUCCAGGCCACAGGAGAGAGGAAACAAGAAACAAAAAUGACCCAGUGUUGGAUAGGUACACGGACGCAGCCCUCUGGAGAUGAACCCACCUGAUCUCCCUAUCUGGACCGAGGCGUGGGCCAGCCCAGCCCUGGCAGCUUCCCCUGGGAACUGCAAACCAAGCUGACUGUGGCGAACUGCGUGGCUUGCUAGUCAUCCGGGAGCGUACGAGGAAGCGUUCCUUUGCCUCUCCGCAAGUCUAAACUUUACAGGUCAUUGGAUGAUGCACAGAAUAAGCAAGUUUUGCUCUAGAGAAGACUGUAGGACAAGGCUGCAGGGCUGCUGAGCUGGCAGAGGUUUGAUUGCCUGAGCAUGUGUGGAGUGGCACAGAGCCCUGCUCAGUCUCUGGGGCCCUGCAGGCCUCAGUGUCCUGCCCUUCCUCCCUUCUUCCUGAACCCACAGCACACCUCAACUUCCUGCUGUCCCCUGGCACCGUUUGGGUUAGUGGCAUCACAUGAGGGUCUCCAGGCUUUUCAGAAGGCUGGGGUUCUUGUCAGCCAGCAGUGUGCUGGAUUCAGCUGGGGAUUUCUGCUCAGCAUCACCUUCGUAGCCUCACUUUGGCAGUGUGGAACUGUCAUGGUGAGAGGACACCACAGCCUCUAGCAAAUGCUACCCUCAGGCUUUGUCCCCAGCUUCCCUCCUCGGGGCAGGGGAUCCCUUCAUUUAGACCCUCAGCACAUAUUCUCCGAGCGCAUCCUGGUGCCAGGCCCUGGCUAGACGUUGAGGACUCUUACAUCAGCAAUGUGUUCUGGGCUUGACCAGUGUGAAGUCAGGAGCCCGCUGGUGUCCUGGUGAGGAGACCGGCUCCAAGCAGCUAUGAGCAUUGUGCUUACUGGUGGAAGAGCUGGGAAGCUGGAUGCCUAACUCCUGGCUGCAGGUUUUGCUCCUGGUGUAACCUGCCCCCAGAGUUCUGAGUCAGAUAAUCUUCAUUUGAACCCUGGAUGCGCUGCUUUGGAGCCAUGUCACCUGUUCUUAGAAAGGCUCCCUCAUUUUCCUCAGUCCUGGUUUCUUCAUAA